rnacentral:rRNA from 1 species
CCUACGGGUGGCAGCAGUGGGGAAUCUUGCGCAAUGGGCGAAAGCCUGACGCAGCAACGCCGCGUGCGGGAAGAAGGCUUUCGGGCUGUAAACCGCUUUCAGCAGGAACGAAAAUGACGGUACCUGCAGAAGAAGGAGCGGCCAACUAUGUGCCAGCAGCCGCGGUGAUACAUAGGCUUCAAGCGUUGUCCGGAUUUAUUGGGCGUAAAGAGUUCGUAGGCGGUCGAGUAAGUCGGGUGUGAAAAUUCUGGGCUCAACCCAGAGACGCCACCCGAUACUGCUUAACUUGAGUUCGAUAGGGGAGUGGGGAAUUCCUAGUGUAGCGGUGAAAUGCGCAGAUAUUAGGAGGAACACCGGUGGCGAAGGCGCCACUCUGGAUCGACACUGACGCUGAGGAACGAAAGCAUGGGUAGCAAACAGGAUUAGAUACCCCAGUAGUC